rnacentral:rRNA from 1 species
UACGUAGGUGGCAAGCGUUGUCCGGAAUUAUUGGGCGUAAAGCGCGCGCAGGUGGUUUCUUAAGUCUGAUGUGAAAGCCCACGGCUCAACCGUGGAGGGUCAUUGGAAACUGGGGAACUUGAGUGCAGGAGAGAAGAGUGGAAUUCCACGUGUAGCGGUGAAAUGCGUAGAGAUGUGGAGGAACACCAGUGGCGAAGGCGACUCUUUGGCCUGUAACUGACGCUGAGGCGCGAAAGCCAGGGGAGCAAACGGG